GGGUUGUGGGACAAUAGCAAACGUGUAUUUUUGCAAUAGUUAGAUGAAGUGUUUGGAAUCGCACACCAAAGAAAGUGAUAGUCUUGUAAUCAAAAACUAUAAAAUACAUUUAUUGUAUCCCGAGUAGCAUGGAGCACGUGUAAUUCCGUGUGAAUCCGCGAGGACCACCUCGUAAGGCUAAAUAUUCCUGAAUGACCGAUAGUGAAACAGUACCGUGAGGGAAAGGUGAAAAGCACCCCGACGAGGGGAGUGAAACAGACCCUGAAACUGGACGCCUACAAGCAGUCGGAGGGCGAAAGCCUGACGGCGUACCUUUUGUAUAAUGGGUCAGCGACUUCGUCUCACGAGCAAGCUUAAGCCGAUAGGUGUAGGCGCAGCGAAAGCGAGUCUUAAUAGGGCGACUGAGUUCGUGGGAUGAGACCCGAAGCCGAGUGAUCUAGCCAUGGGCAGGUUGAAGGUGCGGUAACACGCACUGGAGGACCGAACCCACGUCUGUUGAAAAAGACGGGGAUGACCUGUGGCUAGGGGUGAAAGGCCAAUCAAACUCGGAAAUAGCUGGUUCUCCGCGAAAUCUAUUUAGGUAGAGCGUCAUCCAAAUACCCUCGGGGGUAGAGCACUGGAUGGGCUAGGGGGCCCCAACGGCUUACCAAACCUAACCAAACUCCGAAUACCGAGGAGUACUAGAUGGCAGACACACUGCGGGUGCUAAGGUCCGUAGUGGAGAGGGAAACAGCCCUGACCACCAGCUAAGGUCCCUAAGUUAUCACUAAGUGGGAAACGAUGUGGGAGUGCUUAGACAACCAGGAGGUUGGCUUAGAAGCAGCCACCCUUUAAAGAAAGCGUAAUAGCUCACUAGUCGAG
rnacentral:rRNA from 13 species